CACCCAAGCGGCUGUGGAAGGGUCACGUAACGGCAUGGUUUAGCAGGGGGGAAUGUGAGGGAUGGAGUGGGCACCAUAGAAGAAAAGCAAAAAAGGGAGGAAAGAAAAAGAGGUAGAGGCACAGCAACGUACAAUAGAGGUGGGAUACCAUGCUGCUUGUCAAAGCUGCAUUUGAAGAAAGUUACUGCAUAUUUAUCCAACAUGUACAGUAUGGACCAAGGAUUCCCCGGGUUGAGUGAGGUAGACCGUGGACCGACUGAGCCAGCAGUGAUAUUGUUAUAUUUACAUAAAGUGAGAUGUGGAUGACAUUGUAAAACAAAAAAUCACAAAAUAGGUCCAUGUUUUGUUUAUCCUUCAAUGCCUGUUCUGAUAAUACUUACAC
ensembl:lncRNA